rnacentral:rRNA from 1 species
GACGAACGCUGGCGGCGUGCUUAACACAUGCAAGUCGAACGGGAUCCAAAGGCUUUUUGUUUUUGGUGAGAGUGGCGAACGGGUGAGUAACCCGUGAGUAACCUGCCCCCUUCUUUUGGAUAACCGCAUGAAAGUGUGGCUAAUACAGGAUAUUCCAGGCUGUUCGCAUGAUUGGUUUGGGAAAUGGUUUGGUCUGGUGGGGGAUGGGCUCGCGGCCUAUCAGCUUGUUGGUGGGGUGAUGGCCUACCAAGGCGGUGACGGGUAGCCGGCCUGAGAGGGUGGGCGGUCACACUGGGACUGAGAUACGGCCCAGGCUCGUACGGGAGGCGGCAGUGGGGGAUUUUGCGGAAGGGGCGCAAGGCUGAUGCAGCGACGCCGCGUGAGGGAUGAGGGCCUUCGGGUUGUAAGCCUCUUACGCUGGGUUGAAAGGCCAUGCUUUGGGUGUGGUUGAUUUGAACUGGUAAAGAAGGACCGGCUAACUACGU